CGGGUGAGUAACACGUAAGGAACCUACCGAUAAGCGGGGGACAACAUCCGGAAACGGGUGCUAAUACCGCAUAGGAAGUUUGUUCGCAUGAACAAACUUAGAAAGAUGGCUCUGCUAUCACUUAUCGAUGGCCUUGCGGUGCAUUAACUAGUUGGCGAGGUAACGGCUCACCAAGGUGAUGAUGCAUAGCCGACCUGAGAGGGUAAUCGGCCACAUUGGGACUGAGACACGGCACAAACUCCUACGGGAGGCAGCAGGG
rnacentral:rRNA from 1 species